AGAACCGUGCUCUAGCUAGCUCGUCUUAGCAAAUGUCGUCCAAUCCAGUGCUAACUGAUAGAACCUUCUGCAAUGAUGGGAAUGUUCUGUAGCUGGAUAACCCCUGGCACAAAUGACUACUGGGUACUGGAAAUGUGGCCACAAGGAACCGAAUUUUUCAUUGUGUUUCACUGUAAUUUAAAUUCACAUGGCCCUGGGUGGCCAGUAGCGCUCACAUUGGACAGAACAGCUCUAUUGUAAUCAUCUGUGCUCUACCAGUUUUCUGGGUGGUUAGUUUGUAAACUGGUUUUGGCUUCAUGCCUGCAUAAGAACUACAAGCACGAAUUUAUGCCUGGUUUUACAUUUUGUGCCUGUCAAAGUGACAUUAUAAGAAAAGACACUAUAUGGUCACUUGAGAGUCUUUGAGGGUUCUUUUUGUUUAGAAGGGAAUAGACAAGGGUUCCAGUGUGAGGAGACAUUUCUCUGGAUGUCCUGGACACCUGCUCUCCCAUCAGCUCCCUGCUGUCCCCAGUGAUGGGGACAUUUCCCGCUAAAGGUGUGGGCUGUGUCCUCAGCAGGGGGAGUUGGGUGGAGGGAGACGCUGACUCCACUCUCAGGAAGUGGGAGGAGGGGGCAGAUCCGUGCACACUGUGUCCUUGACCACCAGCCUCAGAAGCAGGCCAUGCCCGGCCAGCAGCCAGCCUGCCUGUCCUCUUCAGCCAUGCAUCAAAUAUUUAGUGGGUGCCUGCUGUGUUCCAGGCACUGUUCCAGGCCCUGGGUGUGGGAGCCAGGCAGCAGACCCCUCUCCUUGAGGACCUGCCGCUCUGGCGGAGAUGACAGGUGUCACAGCACGAUGGUCAUAUCAGUGCUGGAGAGGGAGGGAAUUCCUAGGAUGCUUGCUAGAGGGUCAUGGGGUUGGGCCACUUCUCAACCACAGGGCUGGGGCACGCCAAGUGCAGAGGCUUGGAAGAGCCAUGAUGGAUCCAGGCCCUGAUGCCUGAGAAGGAGUCAGCCAGGCGGAGCCGGGGAGGAGCACUCCAGGCAGACCGGUGAGGCUAGAGGAACACAAGCAAAGCAAGGGCCUCAGAGCGGACAGAGCCAGGGGAAAGAGGCUUGACACAGGGGCAGCAGCCUGUCUCAGCUCCAGAGUGGAACUCACAUUCACAGGCACUUGCAGGCUCACAGGGAGGACUGACUACGAGGAGGAGGAUUCAGAUGCAACGACUUGUCCUUCACCUUAGAACAGGCCCCACACCCCUGGAUGUUUCCCUGAGGUAGAAGGCUCUGAAUUGCAGCUGGGUUUAUUCCCCACCUUCUGACACCAACAAGUCUGGAAUGGUGACUACUUCUUGUGCCUUACGUCCCAUCAGCAUGAUGUCAUCAGUGUAAUGGGCCAGUGUGACAUCCUGGGGAAGGAAAAGGUGAUCGAGACCUCUGAGAAUUACCUCUGACACAGGCUGGAGAGGUGAGAGGCCCCUGAGGUGGGGCGGUGAGGGUGCGUUGCUGGCCUGGCUUCUGCUGGGCCUUGUGGACGGGGGUGGAGGAGAACGCAUUUGCCGGAUCAGUAGCUGCGCACCAGGAAGCAGGAGAUGUGCUAAUUUGCUCAAGCAAUGGAAACACGUCUGGCCCAGCAGCUGCAGUUGGAGUCAAACUUAGGACAGUCUCCCGUCAUUCUCCAGGACCCACCUGUCUCCCCUACGGGCCGAACAGUUACCCAGAUGGAAGGCCGUAGACCCCUUUGGAGAAGACCAGGGGAAGAAUUAACAGUGUUUAUACAUUUUUGGCAGUCCUGGGGUCCUUCCUCAAGGGUACCCAGACUUUCUUUCGUUCUUUCUGGAUUCAUAGACUGACUCAAGUCUGUGAAUGACUGAGGCCAUGAUUCUCGGCUUUUAUGGCUGGAGUUAGAGUUCUGUCCACUUGAUCUGGAAGUUUUUUGCUUGUACCCAGUAGGAAUUGAGCAGGCUUCUGGUCUGUUUCACUGCUAGGAACAACAUGAGCUAGGAAACCCAUCUUCUCCUGUCUGUGGGCAUCGGAACUCCGGGUUCUCCAGCCACUGCACCCUGGGACUCAUACCAGUAGCUACUCCACCACCACCAGUUUUCAGGCCUUUGGCCUCAGACUGAGAGUUACACAAUCUGCUCCCCUGGUUCUGAGACCUCUGGGCUUAGACUGAGCCCCGCACCAGCUUCUCUAGGUCUCCAGCUUGCAGAUAGCCUGUCGUGAGACUUCUCAGCCUACAUAAUCAGACUGUGGUUGACCAUCGGUCAUGACAACUGCAGGAAGUGAAAUCACGGAGAAGGGGGAUCACCAUGCAUAAGCUGGGACAGGUGUUUUGUGAUUUCCAGUGGGGACGAACAGGCACGUACGCAGGGAUUCAACAAUCCCUCCUCUACUUGCGCACGCCAUCAAAGCAGAGUUCUUCAACGUGGGAGCCACUGCCCGCUCAGGGAGGUCUUGACAUCAGCACAGAAACUACAAGAACAGAAGGGAGGGAGUGGUGAUGUGCUUCCGAGACCCCAGGAGGCGGGCAGCACAUAUGGGGAAACUGAGGCACCACAAGGCUCCAGUCCAAACAGAGACUGACCGCCCUGCCACCCAGCCGUCCCCACGCUCACCGUGUCCUGGAUGGCCGCCAGCUCCUGCCGCCCGACGUG